rnacentral:rRNA from 1 species
UCCGGGAAACUGGAAUUAAUACCGCAUACGCCCUACGGGGGAAAGAUUUAUCGGGGAAGGAUUGGCCCGCGUUGGAUUAGCUAGUUGGUGAGGUAACGGCUCACCAAGGCGACGAUCCGUAGCUGGUCUGAGAGGAUGAUCAGCCACAUCGGGACUGAGACACGGCCCGAACUCCUACGGGAGGCAGCAGUGGGGAAUAUUGGACAAUGGGGGAAACCCUGAUCCAGCCAUGCCGCGUGUGUGAAGAAGGCCCUCGGGUUGUAAAGCACUUUCAGUGAGGAAGAACGCCUGGUGGUUAAUACCCAUCAGGAAAGACAUCACU